rnacentral:snoRNA from 1 species
AUCCAAGGUGAUUCCCUCUCCAAGGGGCCUACUAGUGCCCCUCUCAGGGAAGUAGCAACUUGGAAUGCAAUCUGGCUUGGCUAAGGUCUUCAAGGGACAGGGGACACUUACUUAUUUUGCCUUCCUUUGGCUGCCUAUAUGU